AAGAUUUUAGUUUAUAAAAAACAUAUAACUUGCACUUAUAAGAAAAAUUAUUUUUAAAUCUUG
rnacentral:tRNA from 1 species